GCCACGGGGGAAGGUGGCGGACAGCGCAUUGUGCCACGCGGUGCCGAAGGGUUCUCCGGCCCACCAGCGAUCCGGCUGCGUACCGCGGUUGAACCGCUCGUCGCGCACGAUGAUCUCCAGCUCCGGCGGAGUCGGCCCGGUGCGGGACGGAAUAUCUAUACGGGUGGGGGCAUUCAUCUCGAUGGGCUCCGGCUUUGUCCGAUGCUGAGAGCCUGAAAUAGUGGUUACUUACAUCA
rnacentral:misc_RNA from 1 species